rnacentral:rRNA from 1 species
CCCUACGGGGUGCAGCAGGCGCGAAACCUUUACAAUGCACGAGAGUGUGAUAAGGGGACCCAGAGUGCUUAGCUUAGCUAGGCUUUUGCCAAGAGUAAAUAUCUUGGAGAAUAAGUGGUGGGCAAGACUGGUGCCAGCCGCCGCGGUAAUACCAGCGCCACGAGUGGGAACUAUUAUUAUUGGGCCUAAAGCGUCCGUAGCCUGUUUAAUAAAUUUCUUGUGAAAUUGUUAAGCUCAACUUAACAACGUGCAGGAAAGACUGUUAAACUCGGGACUGGGAGGAGUUAGAAGUAUCUUUAGGGUAGCGGUAAAAUGUUAUAAUCCUGAAGAGACUACCAAUGGCGAAGGCAUCUAACCAGAACAGGUCCGACGGUGAGGGACGAAAGCCAGGGGAGCAAACCGGAUUAGAUACCCGAGUAGUCCUGGCCGUAAACGCUGCGAGCAAGAUGUUGCAUAUUCUUCGUGAAUAUGCAGUAUCGAAGAGAAGUCGUUAAGCUCGCCGCCUGGGAAGUAUGGUCGCAAGACUGAAACUUAAAGGAAUUGGCGGGGGAGCAC